UACGUAGGGGGCAAGCGUUGUCCGGAUUUAUUGGGCGUAAAGAGCGUGUAGGCGGCCAGAUAGGUCCGUUGUGAAAACUGGAGGCUUAAACCUCCGAGCGGUCGAUGGAAACCAUCGUGGCUAGAGUCCGGGAGAGGAGAGUGGAAUUCCUGGAUGUGAGCGGUGGAAAUGACGCAGAUAUCAGGAAGAACACCCGUGGCGAAAGCGGCUCUCUGGAACGGUACUGACGCUGAGACGCGAAAGCGUGGGGAGCGAACAGG
rnacentral:rRNA from 1 species